AUGAACGCUGGCGGCGUGCCUAAUACAUGCCAGUCGAGCGAACAGACGAGGAGCUUGCUCCUCUGACGUUAGCGGCGGACGGGUGAGUAACACGUGGAUAACCUACCUAUAAGACUGGGAUAACUUCGGGAAACCGGAGCUAAUACCGGAUAAUAUAUUGAACCGCAUGGUUCAAUAGUGAAAGACGGUUUUGCUGUCACUUAUAGAUGGAUCCGCGCCGCAUUAGCUAGUUGGUAAGGUAACGGCUUACCAAGGCAACGAUGCGUAGCCGACCUGAGAGGGUGAUCGGCCACACGGGAACGGAGACACGGUCCAGACUCCUACGGGAGGCAGCAGUAGGGAAUCUUCCGCAAUGGGCGAAAGCCUGACGGAGCAACGCCGCGUGAGUGAUGAAGGUCUUCGGAUCGUAAAACUCUGUUAUUAGGGAAGAACAAAUGUGUAAGUAACUAUGCACGUCUUGACGGUACCUAAUCAGAAAGCCACGGCUAACUACGU
rnacentral:rRNA from 1 species